AUUGAACGCUGGCGGCAUGCCUUACACAUGCAAGUCGAACGGCAGCACGGGAGCAAUCCUGGUGGCGAGUGGCGAACGGGUGAGUAAUGUAUCGGAACGUGCCCAGUCGUGGGGGAUAACGUAGCGAAAGCUACGCUAAUACCGCAUACGAUCUAUGGAUGAAAGCGGGGGAUCGCAAGACCUCGCGCGAUUGGAGCGGCCGAUAUCAGAUUAAGUAGUUGGUGGGGUAAAGGCUCACCAAGCCGACGAUCUGUAGCUGGUCUGAGAGGAUGACCAGCCACACUGGGACUGAGACACGGCCCAGACUCCUACGGGAGGCAGCAGUGGGGAAUUUUGGACAAUGGGCGCAAGCCUGAUCCAGCAAUGCCGCGUGCAGGAUGAAGGCCUUCGGGUUGUAAACUGCUUUUGUACGGAACGAAACGGCGAGCUCUAAUACAGUUUGCUAAUGACGGUACCGUAAGAAUAAGCACCGGCUAACUACGUGCCAGCCGCCGCAGUAA
rnacentral:rRNA from 1 species